AAAGAGAGUUUGAAUUCAAAGGCAAUCCGUACAGUUGCAUCUAUAGAUAGAAGGGAGAAAGGGUGUGUAAACACAGAGGAAUUGGAGUUGUGGUUUUUUCUGGUGUGGUCUUCCUAUGAGAAAAGAGAGAGACGGUUGUAAAAGACGGUAGUUGGGGGUAUUUAUGCUACGUGGUACGGAGUCAGUCUGUAAUAAUUUUCAUUAAAAAAUGUACCAAC
rnacentral:lncRNA from 1 species